UACAGAGGGGGCAAGCGUUGUCCGGAAUUACUGGGCGUAAAGGGCGUGCAGGCGGUUUGUUAAGUGCAGGGUGAAAGCUCCCGGCUCAACUGGGAGAGGUCCUUGCAUACUGGCGAACUCGAGGGAGGCAGAGGAAAGUGGAAUUCCCGGUGUAGUGGUGAUAUGCGUAGAUAUCGGGAGGAACACCUGUGGCGAAGGCGGCUUUCUGGGCCUUACCUGACGCUGAGACGCGAAAGCGUGGGGAGCGAACCGG
rnacentral:rRNA from 1 species